AUUGAACGCUAGCGGCGUGCUUAACACAUGCAAGUCGAACGGCAGCACAGUAUGUAGCAAUACAUAUGGGUGGCGAGUGGCGGACGGGUGAGUAAUACGUAGGAAUCUACCUUGUAGUGGGGGAUAACCCGGGGAAGCUCGGGCUAAUACCGCAUAAUCUUUACGAAGCAAAGAGGGCCUCUGAAUAUGCUCUUGCUAAAAGAUGAGCCUACGUCGGAUUAGCUAGUUGGUGGGGUAAAGGCCUACCAAGGCGACGAUCCGUAGCUGGUCUGAGAGGAUGAUCAGCCACACUGGGACUGAGACACGGCCCAGACUCCUACGGGAGGCAGCAGUGGGGAAUAUUGGACAAUGGGCGAAAGCCUGAUCCAGCAACGCCGUGUGUGUGAAGAAGGCCUUAGAGUUGUAAAGCACUUUCAGUGGGGAAGAAAAGUUCAAGGCUAAUACCCUUGAAUCUUGACGUUACCCACAGAAGAAGCACUGGCUAACUCUGUGCCAGCAGCCGCCGUAA
rnacentral:rRNA from 1 species